GCUUGUUAUGAUAUUGUAUUCUAUUUAGAUAAUGAGAAAUUGGACUUAAGCAGAUGGGUGGCUAUUGUUGGCUGAUCUUCAUUUAUUUAAUACUAACUGAGUACUGACAUUGCCGGUCUUCCUACCUAAACCUUGGUACAAAAUAAUCCUGAAAUCUUGCAGUUCUCGUUCUGGCCACUAGGCCUUUAAUUAAGCUAAACACUUUGAGUUCUGUAUAGAUAAUUUCCCAGCAGCAUCCUCCUUAUCAUCACAGAAUACUGUAAAAAUGACAAAGUUUCGGGAUGAUGCCCUUCAUCAGGCCUAAGGCAAACAGCUG